CCCCUGCAAGAUGGUGAGUUGAUCUCCUAUAUCCUCAAUGGAUUGGACAUGGAGUAUCAACCGCUCGUCUCCGCCCUCGAUGCCCGGAUCGUCCCGGUCACCCUUGAUGAGUUGUUCUCCAUGAUGAGAAAUUUUGAUC
rfam:Triticum aestivum genome assembly, contig: Triticum_aestivum_CS42_TGACv1_scaffold_473490_6AL